GAUGAACGCUGGCGGCGUGCUUAACACAUGCAAGUCGAGCGAAAAUAAUUGAGAGCUUGCUUUUGAUUAUUUUAGCGGCGGACGGGUGAGUAACGUGUGGGCAACCUGCCUUUUACUGGGGAAUAAUCGUUGGAAACGACGACUAAUACCGCAUACGGUUCUUGGAAGGCAUCUUCUGAGAAAGAAAGGAUUUAUUCGGUAAAAGAUGGGCCCGCAUCUGAUUAGCUAGUUGGUGAGAUAACAGCCCACCAAGGCGACGAUCAGUAGCCGACCUGAGAGGGUGACCGGCCACAUUGGGACUGAGACACGGCCCAA
rnacentral:rRNA from 1 species